AAUCAACGCUGGCGGCGUGCCUCAGACAUGCAAGUCGAACGCGAAAGUCCCCUUCGGGGGACGAAGUAGAGUGGCGCACGGGUGAGUAACACGUAGGUAAUCUACCUUCGAAUGGGGAAGUAACAACCGGAAACGGUUAGCUAAUACCGCAUAAUGCAGCGGCACCUAAUGGUGACAGUUGUUAAAGCGGGGGAUCGAAAGACCUCGCGUCUGAAGAGGAGCCUGCGGCGGAUUAGCUAGNGGUAAGGUAAUGGCUUACCAAGGCGACGAUCCGUAGCCGGCCUGAGAGGGCGGUCGGCCACACUGACACUGACAUACGGGUCAGACUCCUACGGGAGGCAGCAGUCGGGAAUUUUGGGCAAUGGGCGAAAGCCUGACCCAGCAACGCCGCGUGAAGGAUGACGGCCU
rnacentral:rRNA from 1 species